GGGGGAAUUCCCGAGUGGCCAAAGGGGGCAGACUGUAAAUCUGUUAGCAGUGCUUUCGGUGGUUCAAAUCCACCUUCCCCCACCA
rnacentral:tRNA from 1 species